rnacentral:rRNA from 1 species
CUGACGGGAGUGCAACUGACGCUGAAGCUCGAAAGUGCGGGUAUCGAACAGGAUUAGAUACCCUGGUAGUCCGCACGGUAAACGAUGGAUGCCCGCUAUUCGCUCGAAUGAGUGAGUGGCCAAGCGAAAGCAUUAAGCAUCCCACCUGGGGAGUACGCCGGCAACGGUGAAACUCAAAGGAAUUGACGGGGGCCCGCACAAGCGGAGGAACAUGUGGUUUAAUUCGAUGAUACGCGAGGAACCUUACCCGGGCUUGAAUUGCAGAUGAACGAUCCAGAGAUGGUGAGGCCCUUCGGGGCAUCUGUGAAGGUGCUGCAUGGUUGUCGUCAGCUCGUGCCGUGAGGUGUCGGCUUAAGUGCCAUAACGAGCGCAACCCCUGUUCUUAGUUGCCAUCAGGUAAUGCUGGGCACUCUGGGAAUACUGCCACCGUAAGGUGUGAGGAAGGUGGGGAUGACGUCAAAUCAGCACGGCCCUUACGUCCGGGGCUACACACAUGUUACAAUGGCCGGUACAGAGAGUUGGUCGUGCGCAAGUACGGUCUAAUCCAUAAAACCGGUCUCAGUUCGGACUGGGGUCUGCAACCCGACCCCACGAAGCUGGA